GACGGAGGGGGCAAGCGUUGUCCGGACUCACUGGGCGUAAAGGGUGCGUAGGCGGCUUGUCAAGUCAGUUGUGAAAUCUCCGAGCUUAACUCGGAACGGUCAACUGAUACUGUCAUGCUAGAGUGCAGAAGGGGCAAUCGGAAUUCUUGGUGUAGCGGUGAAAUGCGUAGAUAUCAAGAGGAACACCUGAGGUGAAGACGGGUUGCUGGGCUGACACUGACGCUGAAGCACGAAAGCUAGGGUAGCAAACGGG
rnacentral:rRNA from 1 species